rnacentral:rRNA from 1 species
UACGUAGGCAGCGAGCGUUGUUCGGAAUUACUGGGCGUAAAGAGUGUUUAGGCGGUGUUCCAAGUCUGGUGUGAAAUCUCCCGGCUCAACUGGGAGGGUGCGCCGGAAACUGGAAUGCUAGAGGGUGGGAGAGGUAAGCGGAAUUCCUGGUGUAGCGGUGAAAUGCGUAGAUAUCAGGAGGAACACCUGUGGUGUAGACAGCUUACUGGACCACUUCUGACGCUGAGACACGAAAGCGUGGGUAGCAAACAGG